rnacentral:rRNA from 1 species
AUUGAACGCUGGCGGCAUGCCUUACACAUGCAAGUCGAACGGCAGCGGACCUUCGGGUGCCGGCGAGUGGCGAACGGGUGAGUAAUAUAUCGGAACGUACCUUUCAGUGGGGGAUAACGUAGCGAAAGUUACGCUAAUACCGCAUAUUCUGUGAGCAGGAAAGCAGGGGAUCGCAAGACCUUGCGCUGAUUGAGCGGCCGAUAUCAGAUUAGCUAGUUGGUGAGGUAAAGGCUCACCAAGGCGACGAUCUGUAGCGGGUCUGAGAGGAUGAUCCGCCACACUGGAACUGAGACAUGGUCCAGACUCCUACGGGAGGCAGCAGUGGGGAAUUUUGGACAAUGGGCGCAAGCCUGAUCCAGCCAUGCCGCGUGAGUGAAGAAGGCC